rnacentral:lncRNA from 1 species
AGUAGAUAUUUGAAUAAGCACCAAUAAAUAGAAACAACUCCCACCAUUAUCCAAAAUUGAAACAUUCUAGCCAUAUAAAUAUCAAAGUGGCAGCAACAUUAAAUUUACCUUGAAAUCAGGCGACUCAAAAUGCCAGCAAAGCCAGUCCCACUCAUCUUGCCUGUGUAUCAAAUCAGGCGGAAUUGUUUGUCUCCCAUACUUCUUAUAGUGCCUUGAAAAGUCCCCCUUCCAAUCUCGAUAUAUGGUACCCGCCUUAUCUUCAAGUCACGCCCACAUUCGUUUAUCCCCAAAGUCAAUUUUAAAAUACGGCUACAACACACACAAACAACUUCUCAUCAGAGUACAAAUUGAAAUAAUGAAGAAGCUAAACAGUCUGAAAAAUAAUGGAAAGGAUGACAAACAGAAAAUUGAUGUAUUGAAAGACUCUAAAGGCUCCAAAUAAUGGACAGGAAGAGACUACAAGCAUACACAACUACACAACUACACAAAAUCAAGAGUUAUGCAAAUCCUUCACAACUACCCAGGCAUACACAACAUACACAACUACACAAACAUACACAAACUGUACAAGCAUACACAACUUCAAAGGCCAACAAAAAAGAAUGAUUGCAGUUUUGCAAACAUACACAACUAUACAAACAUAAAGCAAAGAUCAGGAGUAAAUAGAAAAAAAGUUCAAGAGCAAACAUAUGAAAUUUAAACAGCUAGCUUAAAUUGUGUGCCAAUAUAUGAAACCACAGGGAACCUGAAUAUAUGAAACUUAAUGCCAAUACUUAUCAAAAUUGGCGUUGUUACUUCAAAAUUCAAGGUAGGGUACAAACAGCAAAGACAACAAAAUUCUUUCCUAAAUCUUCACAUAAUGAACACUAGAAAUCUAUGUGUUCAUCCUAUAACACAAACAACUCAUUCAUCCUAUAACACAUACAACUCAUUCACCUAUAACACAUCAUCAUCAUCAUUACUAAACUGUAAAAGUGACACAUUCACUGUAAACUCUAAACCUGUAACACAUUUACUGUAAA